CCUACGUGUGGCAGCAGUGGGGAAUAUUGCGCAAUGGGCGAAAGCCUGACGCAGCGACGCCGCGUGAGGGAUGAAGGUCUUCGGAUCGUACACCUCUGUCAGCAGGGAAGAACGGUCACUGUGCUAAUCAGCAGUGAAUUGACGGUACCUGCAAAGGAAGCACCGGAUAACUCCGUGCCAGCAGCCGCGGUAAUACGGAGGGUGCGAGCGUUAAUCGGAAUUACUGGGCGGAAAGAGGUCGUAGGCGGUAUGUCAAGGCAAGGGUGAAAUCCCCGCGCUCAACGUGGGAACUGCCGUUGAAACUGGCAAACUGGAGUGUGUGAGAGGAUAGCGGAAUUCCAGGUGUAGGAGUGAAAUCCUUAGAUAUCUGGAGGAACAUCAGUGGCGAAGGCGACUAUCUGGCACAUAACUGACGCUGAGGAGCGAAAGCGUGGGUAGCAAACAGGAUUAGAUACCCGAGUAGUC
rnacentral:rRNA from 1 species